GCCUGGGUGGCUUAGUCAGUUAAGCGUCUGACUUCAGCUCAGGUCAUGAUCUCGUGGUUUGUGAGUUCAAGCCCCACGUCGGGCU
rnacentral:tRNA from 1 species